rnacentral:lncRNA from 1 species
GGCGGAUAUUCCCACCGCGCACCUGCUUCUGCCUGACGUGUACCCGGAAGGUCGUCAGCUCAGGCUCCACAUAUGUAACAGCAGAACAGGUGGAGAGGUAUGAAGAACGAGGAACACUGCCCGGGGAGUUUCUUCCUCUGCAAAAUAAGGGAGUGUGUACUGAAUUACCGUUUCCAGCUCCAACAUCCAGGAUUUCAGCACUACCUGCAGAGUAGUGGGAGGAGAGAUAGAGGAAGAAGUGAAGAUAAGAAAUCCCUCGAAGCCAGUGUCUGGUGCUGGGACCGUGAUGGCUGGGACGGCAGCAGUAGUGCUGUCCAUCUGCUCGUCCGAGGGGUGGCACAUCCUAGCCUCUAUCUUUUCCCCAGAGAAGAUCCCCCUCGUCUGCUCUUCCCCCUGUCUCAGCCUUUUAGUGUGUGAACAGUUCUGGUGUGACUCAGCAGCGCUUUUGUUAGCACCUUUACCAGCAAGUACUUGUUAAACACUUAAAUCUUACAAGUGGAAAGAAAAUUCCGUGGUAAAUUUAAGUACAAAAGUCAACCAAAAUUCUGAGUCUCGGACAAGACUGGUUAAAAAUCGUUCUACAAUGAAACUAAUAUAUUAAAUUAAAUCAUAUAAAACUUUUAUUGCUUUGCAAGGAAGCUUUAGUAUGAAAUGUAGGCAUUUUCAUCUGGUGAUUCUUCCCAGUCUCCUGUGGUAAUAAUACCUGGACAGGGAAGAAAUCUUUUGAGAUAACUAAACUAUACUGGGAAAUGGGCCCCUUGCUAAGUUUCCUGUGGCAGUGACACCCCCU